rnacentral:rRNA from 2 species
AUGAAGAACGUAGCGAAAUGCGAUACUUGGUGUGAAUUGCAGAAUCCCGUGAACCAUCGAGUCUUUGAACGCAAGUUGCGCCCGAGGCCAUUAGGCCGAGGGCACGCCUGCAUGGGCGUCACGC